AUGGAGCGACACAGUGGUGACGACUUCUGGAAUUUUGCUGCCUUGAUUUGGGACAGAUUAUCAGAGGUGGGCACUAUUAUCCUCUCUUUCAUGCAGGAUUUAUCACAUCAGGUUCCUGUUCCAGCAUGGCUCCUGGACUGGCCCCCGGUGCUGUCCCCGGGGGUUCAAUCCAAGCAUAAUUCAUGGAAGCAUGUGUUUAGCAGCGGAACCCAGCUCACCAUUUUAGGUAGGUGGCUCUCACAACUUUCCCCAUCCUGUCCCACCCUCUCCUGUCUCUGGAAAAGUCUGUUUUCUUUCUCUGGGGCUUCUUCCCCUCUGCCCUCCAAGUCUUAAGCAUGGAACCCUUCCUUUCUCCAUGGAGUCUGGGGGAAGCAGGCUAGUCUCAGGGUAUCCUGCAGGAAAGACCCCCACAGGGGUAGCAGCCACCUUCAGGUUCCAAGAGCAGGACACAGCCUUUGCCCGGGGCCUGUGUUGUGACUGGGCAGGGUCAGGGCUCCUCCCCUCUCCCAGGGCAGAUGUCUUAGUGAAGGAUAGAGGCCAGUUCUGAUGAGGGGCCCUGCGGUGGCCUUAGAGACAGUCCCUGGGACCCCAGGGUCUAGGCUGAGCGCUGGAUGCUCAUCCAGCCUGGGUGGGCCACACGGGGUCUGAGGACAUAGGGGUCACCCCAAGAGGAGACCAAUGGAAGGCACAGAGAGGACUCUGGGUCUAGGCUGCAGCUCUGUGGCUUGUGCUGGGUCGGGAGGACCUGGGGACACCAAGGGACAGAUGAGUCUGGGUGAGGUCUGAGAGCCUAGCUCUCCCAGGACAGUCACAAGGAAGGAGAGGGUCUCUUGGGGCAGAGAUGUGUCUGUCCCUGGAGUCCCGUCACCUCUGGGGUCCGGUAUCUCUCUGUUCACGGGU
rnacentral:lncRNA from 1 species